GUUAAGUGAGAUAACCAAACUUGAUUUCUUUUUUAGUUUUAGUAGAGUUCCAAUGAAAAACGAAAAAUCACCCAAUUGAAGGAAAUGCCCGAAUUUUAUAUUUCAAGGAUCAAUAAAAUAAGAGGUUUUGUCGUUAUAGAACACAGAAUUCAAUGGAAGCAAUGAUAAAAAAAUACAAAUAGAAAAGGAAAGGGAGGAAAUACAAAAAAAUAGAAGAGAAAAGUCAUACAAAGUUAUAUACAAAUGACUACCCCCCUUUUGUAUUUCCUUAAUUUAUUUCCUUAAUUGAAUUUCGGUUGAUUAGGACGAAGUUCCUUAAAAACCUUCGCCUUCUUUAAAAUAUCCUGAACAGUUCCAGUAGGUUGAGCCCCUUUUUCAAGGUUUGCUGAGUUCCUUAAAGAGAGUUGUCUCGCGCCCCUAGGUAUUCUCUACCUAUUCUAACAAAAAUUCAUUUUUGGGGUGCAACAAGAGUUUGUAUUCUCAAAUGAUAUCAGAGGGAUUUGCGUUUAUUGUGGAAAUUCUGUUUUCUCUACGAUUAAUAUCUUCUUUAUCUUCUUUCGAAGGCAAAAAUAUUUUUAAAUCUCAUUAUUUACGAUCAAGGGAUAAUUUUUCACAUCUAAAUUAUGUACACCAAGCUCGGGAUGGAUUGGUGUGGUUCCUCUAUGCCUAGGACACCAGAAUAUCGAACCAUGAACGAAGAAAGGUAUGAGGGAAAAGCAUAUUGGCUAGUGAUUGUAAGGCCCUAAUUCUUGACUGGAGGGGUUACCAUAGGCCUCUGCCCUUCCAUCCCUUGGAUAGAUAGAGAGAGAGGGCAGAACUUUUGAUUUUUUCAUGUUGUCAAAGAGUUGAACAAUAGUUUUUUCGAGGACCGUAGGUGCGAUGAUUUACUUCACGGGCGAGGUCUCUGGUUCAAGUCUAGGAUGGCCCAGCUGCGCCAGGGAAAAGAAUAGUAGAAGCAUAUGACUACUUCAUGCAUGCUCCACUUGGCUCGGGGGGAUAUAACUCAGUUGGUAGAGCUCCGCUCUUGCAAUUAGGGAAAAAUGAAGCUUGGGUGAAACUAAGUGGAGGUCCGAACCGACUAAUGUUGAAGAAUCAACGGAUGAGUUGUGGUUAGGGUUGAAAUGCCACUCGAACCCAGAGCUAGCUGGUUCUCCCUGAAAUGCGUUGAGGCGCAGCAGUUGACUGAAGUCUAAAGAAAAAUCAUUAUUGAUCAUCCAAGAUGGUUCACUAAUAGACCGAGGGCUAAGUCAUUCGACUCAUUCACGUCCAGAUCAUGAAUGUUUGAAUCCAUAUUAUGUAAGGAGACAUUGCUUUUGCUAAUUCGAAUUGAAGAGUGAUAUAAAAUCAGUCUAUUUCCG
rnacentral:lncRNA from 1 species